GGUGCAGGAGCUGCGGGCCCGCGGCACCGACGUGCUCGACCUCGGCGGCGGCGACCCGGGGUUCGACACCCCGCGGCACGUC
rnacentral:tRNA from 1 species